GUUCAUUGAAGUGCUCUAUGGCUGUGGGUAUAUUUGAAUGGGAUGAGAGGGUUCUAUACACUGGAUAUGUAUCCAACGACUCAAUUGUGGUGCUGCGAGAGAUCAAGAUUUGACUGUACCUGAUACAUGCAUGAUGGACUGUGGGACAACAUACAACAUAAAUGAUGCAGUGGAAAAGCAGGAUUUGUGACGGGACCAGAGGGGAGAAAACGAGAGCUAACCAGAGGGGGAGAGAAGGAGAAGGAAGCAAGUGAGGAGGGCAGCGAGAAUGAAUGAGACACACUGAGAAAAUAAGGCAAAGGAGAUUGGAGGAAUCAAGCUAAAUGGCAAGCCGUCUUCCUACGAGAGAGAAAGAGAGAGACUGGAAAGAGAGCGGUGCGGAAAGGAGCCCUUAUUAAAGCUGUCCUCCAAGGCUGCCCUCUGACUGAUUCACCCUUUAAAUCUCUCCUUUAAUUGGAGAGGGCACAAGAAGAGAGGGUUGCCUCAAUCACAAAUGUAUUCUGUGUCUCCAAGGAUGGACGAGAGAUAGAGACAGGCAGAGAGAAGGAUAGAAAGGUCCUCCGAAUGUGUGGGAGGGGACCGACCAAAAGUCAGAGAUCUAAACACAACGAGGGCUUGAGAAGCGAGAUGACAUAUUUACAUUCGCCCAGGAAGUAGGAGGCGGGAGGUGAGAAGAUGAAAAACAUAGCACAGUAAUGGAGGGAGACGGGCAGAGAGGUGCGCCAAGGGUGAUGCAAGGAUAGAAGGAGAAGGACAAUGGGGGAGGGAGAGAAAGU